GUGAGAGUUGGUGGUGACUUCCGGCCCCUGGUGACAGUUGGUGACUCAGCAAAUGUCUGAGUGCAGAGAGGGAACCGGCCCACCGUCCCGAAACAGACGAAUAAAUAACUCUGGCGGCGCGCCUCAUACUAGAGCUUGUGCAAGCAAGUGGACCAGAAAUAGCUCAGGGUAGAAGACUCCCAGCGGCGCCAUAGGAAGAAUGAGGCACAAGCCAAUUUUGUACCCUGAAACGGACAUUCCCCGGCUGGAAAAAGCUUGAGUAAAAAGGAGCCAGAGUCAUCUGAAAGGAGGGAACUGCAACUGAGAAAAUGCCUGUCAUAAGAUGCUGAUCAGCUGGGCUGAAGAAUCAGCUGUGAUUCACUGAAGUCAAAUCUCCUGGGAAGUGUUUCCUCAGAAGCCGUGCUCCAGAGGUGGCCAAGGUUGAACCUCAUGCCGGCAGCCGAACUUGGUUGCGUAAGAGUGACCCAGCUGAUAACUGCUUUAAAGGUAUAAAGGGAUCAUGGACAGCAGCUGAGGCUUGACCCUGUGUGGCAGGCCUGGAGUCCCUGAAAAGAGCCCAGGAGAGGUUAAAGGUGAAAGUGCAGCCCAGCUCCUGUAGAAGAGUCCAGCAUUUUGGAGAUGCCAGUACCAGGGGACAACCUCCAAGAACAGCAGCAGGUGUGGAGUGGAGCCAGCCUGAGCCUAGAAGACAUGUUCUGUGUGCUACAGAGGACAGAGCCAGAGAAGUGACCAGGCCCUUUGGAGGAGCUCAGAAGAUCAGGAGAGACGUCCAGACAUUGGAGGCUGAGUCAUUUACUGUUGGAACUUGGUUUUGCUUUGCUCAGGCUAUCUGUGGGCUGGUUCUUCUCUCUUGAGGUAAUAAAGUAACUUAUAUUUUAUUUUA
rnacentral:lncRNA from 1 species